rnacentral:rRNA from 1 species
CCCUUAGAUGUUCUGGGCCGCACGCGCGCUACACUGACGAAGUCAGCGAGCAUGUCCUACGCCGACAGGUGCGGGGAAUCUUGUCAAACUUCGUCGUGAUGGGGAUUGAUUUUUGAAAUUCUUGAUCAUAAACGAGGAAUUCCUAGUAAGCGCAAGUCAGCAGCUUGCGUUGAUUACGUCCCUGCCCUUUGUACACACCGCCCGUCGCUACCACCGAUUGAAUGGUUUAGUGAGAUCUUCGGAUUGGCGCCACUGCAGCUCAGCAAUGGGCUUGGUGGAUGCCGAAAAGUUGAUCAAACUUGAUCAUUUAGAGGAAGUAAAAGUCGUAACA